rnacentral:misc_RNA from 1 species
AACUGAUACUACCUGCGGGAACCUGCGGAAGGAUCAUUAGUGAACGCCCUCACGGGCUUAUAACUAUUCCAAACCUCUGUGAACCGUGCCCUUCGGGGCUAUUUUACAAACGUGGUGUAAUGAACGUCAUAUAUCAUAACAAAACAAAACUUUCAACAACGGAUCUCU